ACUGAUCGGGUAGUGCGCAUGCGCGACUACCACCCGGUAGUGACAAGCGUAAAACGAAUCUUACGGAUAGCGCCUUGGUUUGAUCAGUAGAAAUUGUUGGUAUUAUUGUGUAAUAGACUGCAUUCCCUGCAGGCGAACGUCAAUCGUAAUACUUCUAAAUCCCGAGGCGUUUAAAAGGAACCGAAGACGACUGUAGGAGAAGUUUAAAAGCGAGCAUAUGGGACUGUUACCGCGACUGACCGACGCCUAACAACUUUGUGUGGAGCUCACUUUUUCUUAGAACUGAAGUCGGAAAUGUCAGGACAUACUGAAACAUCACAACUGCUCAUGUCAGUGAAGGAAGAGAUCAAAGAAGAAGAAUUUGAUGAGUAUCUUUCUGCAAUUCCGAAAGUGGAAGAAAGCCUGGACUGGAAGCUGACUGUAAGACUGAAAUAUACACAUCACCAAUCUUGACCCACAAAGAAGAUGAGUAUUCACCAGUGGAAAUGAAACAGGAGGAAACAUCUGAUUUGAGAGAAUAUGGUCACCAUGACUCUACUCCUACAGUUCUCUACAUGUCUCUGAAUCUCUGCUUACAUUUACAGUGCAGUCUGUAAGUGGAUCAUUUUAUCCUAAAGGACUUCCAAGUACUAUUCUAGCAAAUAGCCAGUCAUUGAAAAGCACAUUACAAAAAAUACAAUACAUGUGUUUUCAGUGUUGUAGUGCUAAUGUAACAAAUAAAGUAGAGUGAGGAUAUU